AAGACUAUACUUUCAGGGAUCAUUUCUAUAGUUUGUUACUAGAGAAAUCUCUCUGAAUGUGUAGAGAAUUGAAGAAUAAAAU
rnacentral:snoRNA from 1 species